rnacentral:snRNA from 1 species
UCUUUGGAGCAGGAAGUGGUUAUUAGUAUACUAGAAUGAUGGAGAGAAGAAUAGCAUUGACCCUGCAUAAAGACAGCACUCAAAUUUGAAAGUAUUACAUUUCUAAU